rnacentral:rRNA from 1 species
AGAUCGAAUGGGGAGAUUCAUCGUCGACGGCGCUGGCUACCGUUGGUGCGCGAUGCUCCGGGUGGACCCUUGCGGUUCCAUUAGCGUGUGGCACACCACCUUCGGAUCGAACGUUCCGGCGUCGUAGUCGUGCACUUCUCCCCUAGUAGGACGUCGCGACCCGUUGUGUGUCGGUCUACGGCCCGAGUGGGCGCCUGUCGCGUCGUUUCGGCGCACGCGACAGACCCUCGGUCGCCCGGCCGGCUGCACGACGGUACACUCACGGUAUCGGGCCGCAACCAGUCCAUUCUCGAAUGUGUGUGCGUCCAACCCGCCGCAAGCUCGGUCAGUUCUUACCCGGAGGUACGGACCCUGUGCCGUCCCCGGGCCUGGCCAGCUGUUAGCAGGCGGUGUCCUCGGACUGGCCAAAUCUCAGAUUACCGGUCGGCGACGCUAUUGCUUUGGGUACUCUCAGGACCCGUCUUGAAACACGGACCAAGGAGUCUAACAUGUGCGCGAGUCAUUGGGAUGCAUAAACCUAAAGGCGAAAUGAAAGUGAAAGUCGGCCUUCGCGCCGAUCGAGGGAGGAUGGGCCGCGUAACCAUGCGGCCUCGCACUCCCGGGGCGUCUCGUUCUCAUUGCGAGAAGAGGCGCACCUAGAGCGUACACGUUGGGACCCGAAAGAUGGUGAACUAUGCCUGGUCAGGACGAAGUCAGGGGAAACCCUGAUGGAGGUCCGUAGCGAUUCUGACGUGCAAAUCGAUCGUCG